rnacentral:rRNA from 1 species
UACGAAGGGGGCUAGCGUUGUUCGGAAUAACUGGGCUUAAAGGGCGCGUAGGCGGGCUGUCAAGUUUGGGGUGAAAUGCCACGGCUCAACCGUGGAACUGCCUCAAAUACUGACGGUCUCGAGGGAGGUAGGGGCGAGCGGAACGGAUGGUGGAGCGGUGAAAUGCGUUGAUAUCAUCCGGAACUCCGGUGGCGAAGGCGGCUCGCUGGACCUCUUCUGACGCUGAGGCGCGAAAGCUAGGGGAGCAAACGGG